UACGGAGGGGGCUAGCGUUGUUCGGAAUUACUGGGCGUAAAGCGCGCGUAGGCGGACCUGCAAGUCGGGGGUGAAAGCCCGAGGCUCAACCUCGGAACUGCCUUCGAUACGGGCUGGCUAGAGUACUGCAGGGGAGACUGGAAUUCCUGGUGUAGCGGUGAAAUGCGUAGAGAUCAUGAGGAAGACCAGUGGCGAAGGCGGGUCUCUGGACAGUUCCUGACACUGAGGCACGAAGGCCAGGGGAGCAAACGGG
rnacentral:rRNA from 1 species